AUCAAUCUUCGGGGCAGGGUGAAAGUCCCUACCGGCGGUGAUAAGCAUAUUGCUUUAAGCCCGCGAGCCUUUUUUUUCGGGCAGGAUUCGGUGAAAUUCCGAAGCCGACAGUAUAGUCUGGAUGGGAGAAGAUGGAG
rnacentral:ncRNA from 1 species